rnacentral:rRNA from 1 species
GACGAACGCUGGCGGCGUGCCUAAUACAUGCAAGUAGAACGCUGAAGGAGGAGCUUGCUCUUCUGGAUGAGUUGCGAACGGGUGAGUAACGCGUAGGUAACCUGCCUGGUAGCGGGGGAUAACUAUUGGAAACGAUAGCUAAUACCGCAUAACAGUAGAUGUUGCAUGACAUUUGCUUAAAAGGUGCAAUUGCAUCACUACCAGAUGGACCUGCGUUGUAUUAGCUAGUUGGUGGGGUAACGGCUCACCAAGGCGACGAUACAUAGCCGACCUGAGAGGGUGAUCGGCCACACUGGGACUGAGACACGGCCCAGACUCCUACGGGAGGCAGCAGUAGGGAAUCUUCGGCAAUGGACGGAAGUCUGACCGAGCAACGCCGCGUGAGUGAAGAAGGUUUUCGGAUCGUAAAGCUCGGUUGUAAGAGAAGAACGAGUGUGAGAGUGGAAAGUUCACACUGUGACGGUAUCUGACCAGAAAGGGACGGCUAACUACGUG